rnacentral:rRNA from 1 species
UACAGAGACUGCAAGCGUUAUUCGGAUUCACUGGGCGUAAAGGGUGCGCAGGCGGCCGUGUGUGUCAGGUGUGAAAGCCCGGAGCUUAACUCCGGAAUUGCGCCUGAAACUACAUGGCUAGAGCAUUGGAGAGGGUAGCGGAAUUCACGGUGUAGCAGUGAAAUGCGUAGAUAUCGCGAGGAACACCAGAGGCGAAGGCGGCUACCUGGACAAUUGCUGACGCUCAGGCACGAAAGCGUGGGGAGCAAAAGGG